AUGCAUGCUUUUUGUUUUUGCCGUGCCUUGUUUUCUGUUUAUCUUUGUUGCGCCUUUUUAGUUUUAAUUGUUGUUUACCUUCAUCCGACCGAAUUGAGCUAUCAGAGGUGCCGCGGUCUUUUGGCAAACAUGCUCUAUAUUUUAUGGUUUGGCAUCUACAGGAUGCCAUCUCAGGUCAUGGAUCCACUGUGGCUGCUUCGUCCUUCACUGAGAUCAGAGAGAAAAUUAUAUUUUGGAAGAAGGAACCCAUACCUCAGAAGAUGGCAUUUUGUGCUUGGUGGCCUUCUUCGCCGACUUCAUGGGCGUGUCAGCCCUCAUCUCCACUUCGACAUCGACCACAUCUACGACCACGACACCUGGCACCUUGGGUAUGAUUGUGAUCUGUGCAAUGGGUGCAUAGUGGAAGGGGUCGUCCUUCCAGUUCAGCAGGGGCUGCACCUUCUACCGCAGUUAGCCCGCCCCGCAUUGGCAGCAGCGGAUUCAGAUUGUGUUUGGAGAUGGUGGCCGUGA
rnacentral:rRNA from 1 species